rnacentral:rRNA from 1 species
UGCAAUUCUUGCCAAUUAACGGGUUNCUAAACAUCAAGGGUGGCGNCNCACAUACUGUGCGGCAGGCCGAACNGGUUGCAAAUGAUCGCACGCACCNGGGGCNGGAGAAUUAUAAGUGUUNACACUUUUCCAAGGGGGAAAGAAGGGUCUAACCUUUAUACUGGAGCAAGAUCGAUAUGCAAAUGAUGUGGGUAAUGGAUCCAUAGGAGUGGGUAGGCCUUUCAAGGGAACCCCACUUGGGUGUGAGGAUGAUCCCGCAACACUGGAUGAGACACGUCCGAUCCUUACGCAAUGGGGGCAGUCCUGAAUACUGGCCAACGGCGUCAAUCCAUAACCCCAUGCUGUUGAGUCAUGAGCCCGAAGGGAUGUAAAGCUCUUAAUCCGUGAAGAUAAUGACGGUACCUCCAGAUAAGCCCCGCUAACUUC